CCGAAUUGUCGACACGAGUUGUUGCUGGUCCUCAAAUGGGGGCAUGUGCACGCUCUGUUCGCACAUCCACUCACACCUGUGCACCCUCCAUAGUUCUGCAGCCCUGGGGGCUCUGUCCCCCCCUGCCGUGGUUCUAUGUAUUUACACACACACUGUAACACGGUUUUGUGGAAUGUACGCAGCGUUUAACGCAAUACAAUA
rnacentral:misc_RNA from 1 species